AGGAUCUUCAGGUGGAAAAGAUGAGGACACCCAGCAGCCAUUAAGUGUGUUUUUUUUUUUUAAGUGUGUGGUUUAAAAUGCCAGGUGCAGGGCAGCCCGGGUGGCUCAGCGGUUUAGCGCCGCUUUCAGCCUGAUCCUGGUAGACCUGGGAUCGAGUCCCACAUCGGGCUCCCUGCAUGGAGCCUGCUUCUCCCUCUGCCUGUGUCUCUGUCUCUCUGUCUCUUCGUAAAUGAAUAAAUAAAAUGUUUUAAAAAAAUAAAAUUCCAGGUGCGGGAGGACGAGGGUGUUUCUUCUGCUGUCUCGGGCCUCGAAAAAUCCAGAACCUGAUGCUCCAGACCCCAAAUGAGGAGGAGGACUGGAGACCUGAGCCCUGGGGGCAUUCCACUCUGGGACUCUCUGCUUGCUGGAGUGGAAGGAACUUGUCGCUGCUGCCCAGCCGGCCCCACCGCCCCGCUGAAGCUGGGGGCCAGCGAAUGGAUUGCGGAUCACUUUCCACGGCUGCGCACGCCCGUCUGCAAUGGUUUGAAAUGCUAGGGGCUUGGAUCUGGGAAGAGCAAUCUGCUCUGAACAGCCGGGCUUGAAUCCCAAUCCUACGGCAAUGGAUGCAUUCCUGCAUGUGCUGAAGUGGGGCAGAUGGUGCUGGAAAGACCCAGGCGUCGUCUUGUCUGAAUCCCCAUGUUACAGGUGGGAGACUAAGAGCCUGGCAGGGGUAGGGAUUUGCCCAAGGCCAUAGAGAUACUUGGAGCCCAUUGGUCACAGUGGUGGCUCUUGGAGGCUAGUCAUCUGGCCAACCUCGCCUCCCUCCCAUUACCGUUCUUCUUCCAGGGGAAAAUCAACACUUGGAGAAGGGAAAGUUUGAUCAGCCUCAACGCACUGGAUGAAUAUAGAGCUGUGUACUUCCUUGGUGUGGCUGAAAAUCCACGAGUGAGUUAAAUAAUUUUGAGACUGCUUGAGGAAAAACUAAAAUUCCAGGGCAUUUCUAAACUGGUUGGACCAUGGAGUGGGCUGUAGUUAAUAAAUUUCAGAUACUUAAUCA
rnacentral:lncRNA from 12 species